AUGGGCAGGAUAGGGAGGUGAUUACUAAUAUACUUAAUACAAAAAUAAUCAGCCUAGACUGCAUCCAUAAUAAGCUGUGUCAUAAAAUCUACUCUUUGGGUUUGCUUUUAAUAAUUCUAAUCCACGUGAGAGUAGACUUUGAAACAUCAGACUGUAUCCACCAAAUGACUAAAAGAUAGGUUAAGACAAACUUUUAAAAUUUUUGCCUCUUUUAGAGGAGCGGGUGCCUUAUAGGUGAAACACUUAUGGCCUGUGUUUGAAAACUAUUUCUAAUUAAAGUGAUAGACUUAGUGAACAAUUUGGGGACAUGAUUAUCCUCUAGAAAGUAAAAAUCUAGGUUCAGAAUAUCAACUGGACCUUUGUAUAUAUAUAAUAGAAGCAAUAUUAUAUUAAUAAUAUAUAAUAUAAAAAUGUUAUAUAUAAUAUAAAUAAUUACAAGGCACUUAAAGAAUGCUCAGCUUGUUCCAGGAUAUUUUUUUCUUAGCGGGUGGUGUACAAACAAGAGAUAGAAUGACAGAUGCCAUAUAUAUGUUUUACAAAAACACCUCUUGCUUGUGCAUGUGUAAGCAGAGUCAGGUUUGACAAAAUGCAAAGAGAUGUCUUACAGAUGGCGCAUGUGAGGAGGACAGUCUUCUCAAGCUGAUGAGGCUGUAAAAGCAGUUGUCAUGAGUAUGUGCAAGUCCGCCACACCUGUUCUUCGAGGGAAUUCCCACCGAUGAGAAGACAGAAGUUCAAAAUAUGGAAGAGAGAUGACCACAGUCACAAAUCCGAAGUUCAUCUUUAGGAAGCACCUUCUACCAAAUGGAAAGCUGGCAAGAAGUAAUGCUUGAGAUUGCUGACACUGAAACAACCAGAGCGUACUUAAAAUUGAAAAAACAUUUCCCCCUAUUAUUUGUUUGGAUAUAUCUCAAAGAACCCCAAACAGAAAAGCAAUAUUUAAAUUUGAUUUUGUCCAAAACAUUCUUGCAAUUCUAAUACCCUACCUACUCUGUG